AUAAAACGGACCCAUUCUGUAAAAAAAUCUUAAUAGCGUCAACCAAAUUAUUUCGUUGGAAUUUCGGAUGACACAAACAAAAAAUCUUAUCCACAACCCCAUAAAUUACACCUCUUUUAUGAUAAAAUGGAUGGUGUGAAUGGAAAUUAAGAAAUCUACUGGAAAAGGUUGCUUUACGACCAAUCUCCAUGGUGAACUGCAAUCUAAUAUGCAACGAAUUAAAAAUAUUCAAAAUAUCACAAACACUCUCAGACGGAGCAGCUAAGACAAUAUCAUCAACGUAUCGAUAAUAAAAUAGCAGUCGACAAGGCAGCAUUCCGAUAGCCAUUUUUAAAGUCCUGCAUAACCAUAUUUGCAACAACAGGUGACAAAGGAAUUUUAGUCUUCUUGGAUAUAGCAUCUCACCUCACAACCACACUAUCAGAUGUCAAAUCUAUAGAUAUAUUAUUGGGAGUACAAAUUAGU